CAACGAGAUGAGGAAGGUCAUUUUUAUUUUCUAAACUGCGAACGGGCAGAAAGCUAACCAACGAGAUGAGGAUGGUCAUUGUCAUUUUCGAAGCUGCGAACGGGCAGAAAGCUACACAACGAGAUGAGGAUGGUCAUUGUCAUUUUCUGAGCUGAGAACGGGCAGAAAG